rnacentral:rRNA from 1 species
GAUGAACGCCGGCGGCGUGCCUAAUACAUGCAAGUCGAGCGAACAGACGAGGAGCUUGCUCCUCUGACGUUAGCGGCGGACGGGUGAGUAACACGUGGAUAACCUUCCUAUAAGACUGGGAUAACUUCGGGAAACCGGAGCUAAUACCGGAUAAUAUAUUGAACCGCAUGGUUCAAUAGUGAAAGACGGUUUUGCUGUCACUUAUAGAUGGAUCCGCGCCGCAUUAGCUAGUUGGUAAGGUAACGGCUUACCAAGGCAACGAUGCGUAGCCGACCUGAGAGGGUGAUCGGCCACACUGGAACUGAGACACGGUCCAGACUCCUACGGGAGGCAGCAGUAGGGAAUCUUCCGCAAUGGGCGAAAGCCUGACGGAGCAACGCCGCGUGAGUGAUGAAGGUCUUCGGAUCGUAAAACUCUGUUAUUAGGGAAGAACAAAUGUGUAAGUAACUAUGCACGUCUUGACGGUACCUAAUCAGAAAGCCACGGCUAACUACGUG